rnacentral:rRNA from 1 species
UGGGGAAUUUUGGACAAUGGGCGAAAGCCUGAUCCAGCAAUGCCGCGUGUGUGAAGAAGGCCUUCGGGUUGUAAAGCACUUUUGUCCGGAAAGAAAUCCUCUGGGUUAAUACCUCGGGGGAUGACGGUACCGGAAGAAUAAGCACCGGCUAACUACGUGCCAGCAGCCGCGGUAAUACGUAGGGUGCAAGCGUUAAUCGGAAUUACUGGGCGUAAAGCGUGCGCAGGCGGUUUUGUAAGACGGAUGUGAAAUCCCCGGGCUUAACCUGGGAACUGCAUUCGUGACUGCAAGGCUAGAGUAUGGCAGAGGGGGGUAGAAUUCCACGUGUAGCAGUGAAAUGCGUAGAGAUGUGGAGGAAUACCGAUGGCGAAGGCAGCCCCCUGGGCCAAUACUGACGCUCAUGCACGAAAGCGUGGGGAGCAAACAGGAUUAGAUACCCUGGUAGUCCACGCCCUAAACGAUGUCAACUAGUUGUUGGGGAUUCAUUUCCUUAGUAACGUAGCUAACGCGUGAAGUUGACCGCCUGGGGAGUACGGUCGCAAGAUUAAAACUCAAAGGAAUUGACGGGG